AGGGGCGUAGUUCAAUUGGUAGAGCACCGGUCUCCAAAACCGGGUGUUGUGAGUUCGAGUCUCUCCGCCCCUGCCA
rnacentral:tRNA from 1 species